rnacentral:RNase_P_RNA from 1 species
CCGCUGGUCUAUUCAGCCAGAGGAAAGUCCAUGCUCGCACUGCCUGCGAUGGCAGUAGUGUUUGUGCUGAUCCAAUCAAUAAGGUCAGGCAUGCCCAAUGGGCAUGACGGCGGAGCCGAAACCUAAAGGCGAAAGUCCAUGGUCAAGGUCCCUAAGGUGUCACAGUGACGCAGCCGGCAGGGAAACCCGCCGGGUGGAACGAGAUAAACCCCUCAAGCGAGAAACCCAAAUUUGGUAGGGGAACCAGCGAAAGCGAAGCGAAGCUUUCAACGGGCGCCUUUCAAAGGCGCAGAUAAAUGGCCGUAGCGCAGCAAUGCGUAACAGAACAUGGCUUAU